GCCCCUUCACGCCCCCCUCCCCCGCCGCCAACCCAACCUCCCCAUCCCCAUCCCCUUCCGCAUCGCCGCCGCUCAGACGAACUCGCCGCCGGCCAUGGCCACCCCCACCCUCCCCUCUCCUCUCCUCUCCUCCUCCCCUCCACUCAUCACUAGGCAUGACAAGACCCGAGUAAAGAGGGAGAUCCACCGCUCCCGAGAGCACGUCAGGCGGCUGCCAUGGCACGCCCAGAUCCGCCAUUGCCGCCGUCGUCGAGCUCCUCUGCUCCCAGCGCCGGAUCCACCUCCAUCUCGACAACUGCGCAACAGCAGGCGCUGCCACCGACGCCUUCUACACCCCAAGCGACGGUGGCGCCCAGAUAACACGGCUCGUCUCCUCUUCGGAGGAGCCACCGUGGCCGGGCUUCCGCGAGAAGCAGAGGACCGCCGCCGGCUGGAGCUACUUGUCCAGGGCCACCGAGCUCCCCCCCCCCCCCCCCCCCCCCCAAGCGGCCCCAACCGGCGACCUCUCCCUUCCUGUCCAGCUUCCUCCAUGGCUGCUCUACUUCAACACGACAUGGACGGAUGCCACAUCCACCGAGCCACGGACGCCAUGGACGGAGGUCCAACCCUUUAGCAGCAGGCCGCCAUUUUCAUUGAUUUGAGGAAUUCCUGCAAGUGAUUGAUGGUGUGCAGGCCAUGGAGGGCUUCAACCCAUCAAGGCUUUGUAUGUGAAAUCCCCAGAGUUGAGUGAUCUGAACCUCAACUAUUGUACAAACCUACACCCAGGUAUUAUGUCCUUAGCUUUUUCAUCAGGUUGUCAGGUUGUCAAGUCUGCCACACAAGGUGCCCCCAUGGGUGUAGAUUUAUCCAUUGGCUACCCAUUGGAGCAUCACUUGCAGGACUCUCUGUUUACACACAAAAUUGAUGUAGCUUUUCUAGCCUUCUGUGUAUAACUACCUUUUUUUCAUAGUUGUAUCAAGUAAGGAUUACUUUAUCCAUACAUUGUUGGCAUAAAAUUGAUGCUCAGUCUUGUGGCAGACUUUGUGCAUUAUAAGACACUUGCCCCAGAUCCAAUUCGUCGAUGGAGUUAGAACAAUUCCGUACAACAGAGUAUUAGGUAAUUUAUGUUCUAACCAUGUUAUUAUUAUUGCAGAACCAAAUACAAAUGCUUAAUCUGAGCCAUUUCUCACUCCAUUUCCUCUAGGUGUCUACCAAUUAUUGUUUGUCUUCUUAAGUGAAUGAGCUGCUGGUCAUACUUUAACCACACGUCAAUUGCAGGAGUGCGACAGCGCCAUCCUGUGCCACAAACCAUGCGAAGAAUUAUGGGUGGUGUAAUCCUAUGCUAGCUAGGGUGCUAGACAGAUUUAAUAAACUCUUUGGAGCUCAUCUUUUGCCUGAAACGCUAAAACUAACCUGACACAGCAGUGACUAAUGAUUAAUACAAUGGAGUGCAUUUGAUCCACCUUAAAAAAAUACCUAUUGGGGAAUAAGAAUGAAAAGUAAUCACCCCUGUUUCUGCAGUGGAAUUCAAGUAUACCAGCUCGUCUAUUUAUUUGACUGUUGUUAGAUUGUUUUAUCCUGGUCUGACGUGUUAAUGGAGUUGUUUCAUUCCUCACACGACCCCUUUCAAUUGGAUCAGUUCUCCUUUUGGGUUACUCUAUAUUCCCUACAUAUAUCUUUAUUAUGUUCAUCGAGACUUCAGAGUAAGACAUUUAUUUUAUUCAUAGUACCUUCAAGGUAACAUGGUACCUACAACGCAGUCGGGCUAAUGGUAAUCAGUUCUAAAUCUAAUCAAGUGUAAGCUUCUCUGUUGUCUGUACUGCAGCCGUGAUGAUCAGAAGUUCAGGACCCCACUGUAGACAGGAAAAAAAGAAUAAUCUUGAUAUCAUUCAGGAUAGUGAAGUCUGCACCAGAAUAUUGACCAACCCCGUGGGAUGCAGUUUUGUUUUAUUUGGAGAUGGAUUGAAAAAAAUCCGAGCUACACUGACCUUGUACAGAGUGUAUCUGAAAAUUUGAGUAACAUCUCCAUAUCACUGAGUCUGAAAAACUAUUGUACCAUCUUUAUUAUACUGGAUUUUAUUCAUUUUGUUCUUUUUUUCGUACCACUCAGUACUUUGAUGUUGUCAUAGGGGACAUCGCUGAUCAAUGGACUCCAUGAUGAGAUAAUCGCCGGCGCCAUCUCUGAUUCUAUUGAUGAGCGCGUACAUACAGCACCGGCAGCCACUUAGUUCAAGGAUGGUAGGAUAGUAACAAAUGUUUAUGGACGACUCCUAAUUAAACUAGAACAAAAAAUUGCUUGCAAUUUUCAUUGGUUGCUGUUGGCAGUGAGGUGCAUGUAAUACAUUGAAAACUUGCUGCUAUGGGCAAAGACAAUAUGCGUGUAUUUGUAGGCUGAGUUGUUUAUUGUUUAUUUUGGUCGCAUCAGGCAAUGUGUGAACUAAGCUUUUGCCAUUGCUGAUCGUGUAUUCUCUCUGUGCUAGGAAGCAUAGUUUCAGCUUAUCCCCUAGAUCAAUAUACUUGGCAUUUGAUAUU